rnacentral:rRNA from 1 species
UAGUCCACGCUGUAAACGAUGAUUACUAGAUGUUCGGACUUCGGUCUGAGUGUCCAAGCGAAAGCGAUAAGUAAUCCACCUGGGGAGUACGUUCGCAAGAAUGAAACUCAAAGGAAUUGACGGGGGCCCGCACAAGCGGUGGAGCAUGUGGCUUAAUUCGAGGCAACGCGAAGAACCUUAUCCUGGAUUUGACAUGUAUGGAUUAACUCUAUGAAAGUAGAGCCACGCCUUCGGGUGGAACAUACACAGGUGCUGCAUGGCUGUCGUCAGCUCGUACCGUGAGGUGUUGGGUUAAGUCCCGCAACGAGCGCAACCCCUAUUGCUAGUUGCCAGCAUUAAGUUGGGGACUCUAGCAAGACUGCCGGCGUAAGCCGCGAGGAAGGUGGGGACGACGUCAAAUCAUCAUGGCCUUUAUGCCUAGGGCGACACACGUGCUACAAUGGUGCAUACAGAGGGUAGCGAAGCCGCGAGGUGGAGCCAAUCUCAGAAAGUG